rnacentral:rRNA from 1 species
UACGUAGGGAGCGAGCGUUGUCCGGAUUUAUUGGGCGUAAAGCGAGCGCAGGUGGUUUAUUAAGUCUGGUGUAAAAGGCAGUGGCUCAACUAUUGUAUGCAUUGGAAACUGGUAGACUUGAGUGCAGGAGAGGAGAGUGGAAUUCCAUGUGUAGCGGUGAAAUGCGUAGAUAUAUGGAGGAACACCGGUGGCGAAAGCGGCUCUCUGGCCUGUAACUGACACUGAGGCUCGAAAGCGUGGGGAGCAAACAGG